CAGCCGCCGCGGUAAUACGUAGGUGGCAAGCGUUGCCCGGAAUUAUUGGGCGUAAAGCGCGCGCAGGCGGAUCAGUCAGUCUGUCUUAAAAGUUCGGGGCUUAACCCCGUGAGGGGAUGGAAACUGCUGAUCUAGAGUAUCGGAGAGGAAAGUGGAAUUCCUAGUGUAGCGGUGAAAUGCGUAGAUAUUAGGAAGAACACCAGUGGCGAAGGCGACUUUCUGGACGAAAACUGACGCUGAGGCGCGAAAGCCAGGGGAGCGAACGGGAUUAGAUACCCCCGUAGUCCCUGUCUCUUAUACC
rnacentral:rRNA from 1 species